AAUUAUUAGAAUAGGCAAAGGUGUGGGGGUUAAUAUCCUCUUCUUUAUAUAUUUUUCUCUAUAUAUCCUCUCUUGAGUGCAACAAAAUUCAGGCUAAAAAGGAGAAUAAUUAAUCUUGUCUUUUAUCCAGCCUCAAAGUGCAAGCGCAGCAUCUCGUUUUCUCUGGAUGAAACCAAACCCUGCCCUUCUGCAAUACGGGAAGUAUUCUGUCAGGACUAUGGCCUGCAAUAUUAGACACAUCACCUUUAUUACUGCAGCCCAUGCACCAGGACGAACAAAAACUGGUGCUGAGGACUGCUUUCUCCAGAGAUGGAUACAAAUGAGCAUUUUGGAAAUGCAGCCAUACACAUGCCCCAAACAUCCCGAGGUGGCUUUCAGGUGAGUGUUGAGAGGACGGCAGGGCUGAGCUCCCCCCGCAACCAUCCCACUCACAGCGUGCCCCUCGGGCUAGGAAAAGCAAACGGGUGUCACCUCGGCUCUUGCCUUGAGUUUGGCACUGUGAUUUAACUACCUCAGCACGCAGGGGAAAAUAAACCAUGCCAGAUAAACA
rnacentral:lncRNA from 1 species